rnacentral:rRNA from 1 species
AUACGGAGGGGGCAAGCGUUGUUCGGAAUUACUGGGCGUAAAGGGCGCGUAGGCGGAUUGGUUAGUCAGAUGUGAAAUCCCCGAGCUUAACUUGGGAACUGCAUUUGAUACUGCUGAUCUAGAGACCGGGAGAGGAUAGUGGAAUUCCCAGUGUAGAGGUGAAAUUCGUAGAUAUUUGGAAGAACACCAGUGGCGAAGGCGGCUAUCUGGACCGGUACUGACGCUGAGGCGCGAAAGCGUGGGGAGCAAACAGGAUUAGAAACCCUAGUAGUCC